rnacentral:rRNA from 1 species
UGGGGAAUAUUGCACAAUGGGCGCAAGCCUGAUGCAGCCAUGCCGCGUGUGUGAAGAAGGCCUUCGGGUUGUAAAGCACUUUCAGCGAGGAGGAAGGCAUAAAGGUUAAUAACCUUUGUGAUUGACGUUACUCGCAGAAGAAGCACCGGCUAACUCCGUGCCAGCAGCCGCGGUAAUACGGAGGGUGCAAGCGUUAAUCGGAAUUACUGGGCGUAAAGCGCACGCAGGCGGUUUGAUAAGUCAGAUGUGAAAUCCCCGCGCUUAACGUGGGAACUGCAUUUGAAACUGGCAAGCUAGAGUCUUGUAGAGGGGGGUAGAAUUCCAGGUGUAGCGGUGAAAUGCGUAGAGAUCUGGAGGAAUACCGGUGGCGAAGGCGGCCCCCUGGACAAAGACUGACGCUCAGGUGCGAAAGCGUGGGGAGCAAACA